rnacentral:snoRNA from 1 species
UGAUGAUGGUGAGGUCAACUUUUUAGCAUACCCUUAAAUCUCUCCCAAGCUUGGUAAAGAUUCUCUCUAUCUUUCUGUCUAAAACUCAAGAUUUUAUUCCUCAAGUG